CGAGGACACAGAGUCACGCACCGCUUUGUGGACGGCAUUGUGGAUCGCGCGGUUCAACCGCCACUCGUGUUCGGGCGAAUGCAGAGGAAUGGACUAAUCAAGCAGCACAUGGAAGAACCCUCCCUGCAGCUAUGUGAUGCCACCAGGUCCAGUUCAUCUGAUGAAGAGGACUUCUUCUUCGUCAUCUCAAGCGCAUGACAGCAACAAACAGCUGGAUGGAGACCUGACCUGUUCAGCAGAUCACAUUGACUUGCUGAAAUGCUUCCCAACUGUGUGCUGCUGUCUGUGAAGCUAGACACACUCUACCUGCACCAUGUGAACGGCUCUUCAGCAUCGCAGGACUCGUCUUCAGCCCCAGAAGAGCGACACUGACAUCUGUUCAUUUUGAAAAUCAACUUCUUUUGAAGAUGAACAGGAAUUUGUUCAGUUUCAAGUGAUGAUUCUGGUUGUUACUUUUGGUGCUGCUUUUUUCUGUGUUAAUCGUGUAUUUAUAUUUUAGUAAUUUCAUAGUAUUCAUAUAUUGCUAAGUUCAUCCUAGCUCAUACUCCUUGUUCAUGGCGGCCUAAACAAAUAAACUUCAUAAUUCUCACAA